AGUGAACGCUGGCGGUAGGCCUAACACAUGCAAGUCGAACGGCAGCACAGUAAGAGCUUGCUCUUACGGGUGGCGAGUGGCGGACGGGUGAGGAAUACAUCGGAAUCUACUUUUUCGUGGGGGAUAACGUAGGGAAACUUACGCUAAUACCGCAUACGACCUACGGGUGAAAGCAGGGGAUCUUCGGACCUUGCGCGAUUGAAUGAGCCGAUGUCGGAUUAGCUGGUUGGCGGGGUAAAGGCCCACCAAGGCGACGAUCCGUAGCUGGUCUGAGAGGAUGAUCAGCCACACUGGAACUGAGACACGGUCCAGACUCCUACGGGAGGCAGCAGUGGGGAAUAUUGGACAAAGGGCGCAAGCCUGAUCCAGCCAUACCGCGUGGGUGAAGAAGGCCUUCGGGUUGUAAAGCCCUUUUGUUGGGAAAGAAAAGCAGCAGGUUAAUACCCCGCCGUUCUGACGGUACCCAAAGAAUAAGCACCGGCUAACUUCGUG
rnacentral:rRNA from 1 species